UGGGCCAUGUGUCUCAGAUCAUCCAGCAGGCUAGUCCAAGCUUGCUCAGAUGGCAGCUCUGCAGGGAUCCAAGGAAGUGAGCAAAGCAUGCAAGGACUCUUGAGAUCUUGGUGUGGGGCUGGCACACUAUCAGCACUGCUCCUCUCUAUUGGUCAAAGCCAAUCUCAAGGGCAACAAGAUUCAGGUGGAAGGAAAAUGGAUUUUACUUCUUUUUUUAUUGAGACGGACUUUACUUCUUGAUGGGAGGAAUGGCCAGCAUAUUGCAGGAGGAUGCAGGAAUAAAGAAUUGUGACACUUUCACAAUCUACCACAGACAAGGAGAUGAGGAGGUGAAAACAGGCACUAUUCCCUACCAUUGUCAACAAAAAGGUGAUGAGAUGAUAAUGUUGACCCUCCAUGUGAAAGGAAGGGUAUGGCAGGCUCUUAUUCCCAUAAACAGGAGAAUAAAGUUCACCUUAAGGUUCUUUGCAUCUCCAAUGUCUUUUGAUGCUCAUGCCCAACAUCACAUCAGCACUCAGCCUGCUUUCAGUUACAAGUCACCACAAACAUGAUACAUUCCCAAGUUUGGGGAUGCCGGAACAUGAAUACUGAUUUGAAGAGAUGAAUGAGAAUACAGCAUUUUAUCUGAUCUGUGGAGUCUUGCUGUGUCACCCAGGCUGAAAUGCAAUGAUCUUGGCUCACUGCAACGUCUGCCUCCCAGAUUCAAGCAAUUUUCCUGUCUCAGCCUCCCAUUUUUAUUUCUUUAUUUGACUUCUAUUACUUGUCAUUACUUAGCUCCACUGUUUUACCAGACCCAUCUCUCACUAUUUCUGUGGACUCUGCACUGACAUGUCCCGUCACCUGCUCUUUCCCAUCAUGGCUAUUACAGUAUCAGUUCCACAUUUGUACAUGCUAUUACCUGAGUCUAGCAUUUCUCCACAACCUAUCCCCUAUCCUGCAUGUACUCAUCAUCUUGUACAAUCUGGCUUAGAUGUAUAAUCCUUUGUGGAUUUUUUUCUUAUUUAUUUUGAGAAGGAUAGUCUCUCCUUCUAUUGUGCUCCCAUGACACUAUAUUUAUUUCUCUGCUAUUGUACUUCAAUUUUAUUGAAAUUAUUGUCUACUUAUGUAUCUCUAUCCUUCCCAACCCCUUUCUCCCCUGACCAGACCAGCCUAUAAGAUCCUUGAUAGCAUUAACUUGUCUUGUUCACUUUUGGCUCUUAAGUUCAUAAGCACAUAGCUAUGACAUAGUAAAAAGCUGAAAACAAUAUUUACAUGAUGAUUAAAUAUAUUAAUAGCAAGAAUUUAUUUUACUUCUAAUACUUUUAGAUUACCAGGUAUAUUUUUGAAGGAAAACCAAGUACAUUUUUGUGGAGGAACUUGUACACUUUUACAGAUCUUAGAAUACAAAAUAAAUGCUCAUUUUAAAUAAUGACAGUAUUAGCUAAAUGUGGCUGCAUAACAAAUUACCCCAAUAUUUAGCAGCUUAAAAUAAUAAUCUUUAUUAUAUCCUAGUUUUUAUGAGUCAAGAUUCCUGGCAACAGCGAGAUGCCAUUGUCUCAGGAUCUCUCUCAAGGCUGCUGGUCAGGGCUGUAGACAUCUCAAGGUUCAAGCAGGGGAGACCCCAUUUCCAAACUCGCUCACCAUGGUGUCAGGUCCUUGAUGGCUAUUGUCUGGAGACAUCAACUUCUUGCCAUGUGGACCACUUCAUAAGGAAGCUUUCAACAUGGCAGCUGACUUCCUUCAGAGUAAGUGCACAAGAAAGCAGAAAUAGGGCACCCUAGAUGGAAGACACUAUUUUUUGUAAUCUAAUCACAGGAUAACAUUCCAUCAUUUUUUCCAUAUUCUAUUUAUUAUUUGCAAGUCACUAGGUCCAGCCUACACUCCUGGAGUGAUUGCUCAAGGGCAUGUGUAUCAAUGGAUUCACUGGAUGCCACCUUAGAGGCUGUCUACCGCAACAACAAUUAACAGUUUCAAACAAGUUUUUCUCUAAUAAUAAAAGUAAGAAAUCUCAUUACUGAAAAUUUGGAAACAAAUUUGUAAAAAAGAAGAAAAAGCCAUCUAUAGUUCUACUAUCUAGGAAACCCAGUUAAUAUUCUGAAGUAUCACACUAACUUUUAAACCAAAUUUUUAUAUAGUUGAAAUAAUAGCUGCAUAUCUCGUUUUCAAUUAUUAUUAUGUCUCUGAAAAUGCCACAUUAUUGCAAUAUAUGUAUCAUUGCUUAUCCAUUCUCUAAUUGUUGAAUAUUUUGAAUGUUUACUUUUUUAGAAGCAAUACUGCCAUUAUUUUCUAAGACUGGAUUCAGUUUUCUUUCUUUUAAGACAGAGUUUUGUUCUGUCACCCAGGCUGGAGUGCAGUGGCAUGAUGACAGCUCACUGCAGCCUCUACCUCCUGAGCCCAAGCAAUCUUCCCACCUCAGCUUCCCGAGUAGCUGGGACUACAGGUGCACAACACCACACCCGAGUAACUUUUUUUUUUUUUUUUUUUUUUUACUUUUUGUAAAGACAUGUCUCCCUGUGUUGCCCAGGAUAGUCUUGAACUCCUGAGCCCAAGUGAUCUUCCCACCUUGGCCUCUCAAAGUGCUAGGAUUACAGGCAUGAGCCAUCACAGCAGGCCAAUAAGCAGUUUUCAAAUGAACAAGCAUAACUUGAAGUUUUUUGAUACUAAAAAAAGAAAAUAAUUUUAAAAAUGGGGGCAGGUUACAACUCCCAUAACAGAAGGAACAUAUCUGCCCUGUGCCAUUGUUAAGAGUGCUGCUUUUUUAUUUUUACACUGUCUAUGUGCUUGUUUAGGGGUUUUAUUUGAUGGUAUUUACUUGGAACUAAUCAGAAAACUCUUUUGUGUAUGCUUCAUUUAAAUUCUUCCUCAGAGGUGGAAAAGACAGGCUUUAUGAAUAGAUCAUACUCCACAGGUUGACAAAACAGCCCUGUUGCAAUUAUUUUUUAUUAGUAACAAUAAUAACCUUUGUUUAGUGUUUUACCUUGUGAAGAAGGUAAGACAGGUAUUAUUAUCAUCUACAUAUUUUGGAAAUGUAGAGGACUUGCAGUCAUUUGCCCCAGGUCAUCCAACUAUUGUGAUUAAAUAUGCAAAUUAUAUAAUUGGCCACAUUAGGCAAAUUAUACACAAAUACACACACAAGCCAAUUGACAUACUUAACUAUAUUUCUAAAUCAAGACUUCAAGUUUAAGUAAAUUCAGUUUAUGAAAAAGCCAACUGACAUCCUAUUCUAUAUCUUCAAAAAAGGAUUUCAAAUAUAUUUAAAUUCAGUUUACUCAAAAGUAAAUUAAUAUGCUGAACUACAUCUUCAAAUCAAAAUUUCAGGUUUAUAUAAUUUCAGGGUAGUUGAUUCUACUCAAAGGUCUGUAGAUAGCACCUUUUGAAAUUUUGACAGACUUCCAUGGUUACCAUGAUAACAUUUCUAAAUGUUAGAAAGAUAAAUUUCCUAAGAAAAACUGUUCUAUAAAGUACAUACAAUAUAUUUGCUAAGAGAGACUAUAAUAUGUAAAAAUAGAAAUAUAAUAUCCAUAAUCUACUAAAAAGCAUACAUUAUAAAAUUCUUCUAAUAUUAUAUUAAAAACCUGGGCAAGGUGCUACAUACUUGUAGUCCCAGCUAUUCUUGAAGCUGAAGCAGGAGGAUUGCUUGAACUCAGAAGUUGGAGGCCAGCCUGGGGAACAUAGUAAGAUUUCAUCUCUUUAAAAUAAUUGUAUUAAAAGCAUGCAUUAUAAAAUUGCUAGGGAAAACUAAAGAUAUAUAUUUUUAAACCUCAAAAAUAAGAAUUAUGACCAUAUACUUUAGAGAAAUGGUAAAUACUUUGUGCAUGCAGUUUUUUGUCUGUUUUGUUUUUAUUUUUUAACACAGAAUUGUCUUGAAGAUUGGUUAAAGUUUGCUCAUCUCUGAACCUUCAGAAAGGCUCUCUCCUACCCCCUUCUCCAUUUGAGUGGAUUUUUAAAAAAAUUUUAUUUUGAAAUGAUUAUAGAUUCAGCAAAAGUUGUAAAUGUAGUACUACAGAGAGAUCUUGUAUACCUAACUUUUCCUAAUGGUUACAUCUUAUAUUGCUAUGAUACAAUAUCAAACAUUGAUGUUGUUUGAUAUUGUAUUGAUAUUGUAACAUUGGGACAAUGUGUGUAAAUAGUUUGAUGCCAUUUCAUCACAUAUGUAGACUCAUGUAAACACCACUGCAAUAAACAUGUAGAACGAUCCCAUCACUACAACAAUGUGGUUCAAGCUGCCCCUUAUAAUCCUGUCCACUUCCCUCCCUGCCACCAUCCUUGGUGGUAAUUUGUUCUCCAUCUCCAUCUUCUAGCUAAUUUGUUCUCCAUCUCUAUAAUGUUUUCAUUCCAAACAUGAUAUAUCAAUGGAAUCAUAUAGAUUGUGAUUUUUACAUUGGCUUCCCCCACGCAGCAUAAUGCCCUUGAGAUCCACUCAAGUUGUAUGUAUCAAUAGGUCAUUUUUAUUGUUGAGUAGUACUGUCUGGUAUAAAUGUACCACAGCUUUAAAAAAUCAUUUGGGGUGGAUAUUUUUAACUAAGAGUCUUAACUAGAUUCAAAAGUGAUCAUGGAGAAGAACCUUAUCUACCUAGAAGGCAUUCUCCUGGUACUCAGAGAUUUUCUUAUCAAGGAAGUAAUUGAAGAAAGGAAAAAAAAAUAAGUGUGAUUAAUGCAAUUUUCAGGUUGAAUAAAAUAAAUGCUGUAGAAUAGGGAUUUUUGGAAGAUGGCUUAGGUCUUGAUUUUUUGUUUAAAUAUCUUGUUUCUAGAAGUAAAACUUUACACAAGUACCAGUAUGUAUAGAGCCAUUUAAGUAAACCAAGCAAGCAGAAAGACAAAGCAAGAACCAACUUAAGGAUUUAAAGUCAAAUCUAGUUUAAAAAUCUUGGUAGUUUAUCAUCAAAUAUUAUGCUGUAAUAAAGCUAUC
rnacentral:lncRNA from 1 species